GGGGAAUUUUGGACAAUGGGCGCAAGCCUGAUCCAGCAAUGCCGCGUGCAGGAAGAAGGCCUUCGGGUUGUAAACUGCUUUUGUACGGAGCGAAAAGGCUUCCUCUAAUACAGGGAGCUCAUGACGGUACCGUAAGAAUAAGCACCGGCUAACUACGUGCCAGCAGCCGCGGUAAUACGUAGGGUGCGAGCGUUAAUCGGAAUUACUGGGCGUAAAGCGUGCGCAGGCGGUUUUGUAAGACAGGCGUGAAAUCCCCGGGCUCAACCUGGGAAUGGCGCUUGUGACUGCAAAGCUGGAGUGCGGCAGAGGGGGAUGGAAUUCCGCGUGUAGCAGUGAAAUGCGUAGAUAUGCGGAGGAACACCGAUGGCGAAGGCAAUCCCCUGGGCCUGCACUGACGCUCAUGCACGAAAGCGUGGGGAGCAAAC
rnacentral:rRNA from 1 species